CGAAUGGGUUCAGCACUCACCAGGCCAUCACGGAGCUGCUCAAGGGCCCCCAGAUCACAAAGUUUGUCUUCUGGGAAUACCUGACAAGAGGAGAGAAUCAAACUGAGUAUGAACGAUAAAGCUGAUUCAAGGAGAGGAGCUGGAUUUGUGCAGUCGGGAGCAAAAUGCAGCCUCAACUUGCUGAAUUGGCGGAGCAGCCAGAAACUGCUUUGUCAGUCUGAUCAGCUGUCUUCCCAGCAGUUUUCCAGGGUUAAAUGAGAACAACUGUCAAUAUAAAAUUGAAAAUAAAAGAAAUAUUGUUGGAAA